GACAGAGGGUGCGAACGUUGUUCGGAAUUACUGGGCGUAAAGCGUGUGUAGGCGGCAAUGCAAGUCGGGCGUGAAAUCCCCAGGCUUAACCUGGGAACUGCAUUCGAGACUGCAUAGCUAGAGUAUGGGAGAGGAGAGUGGAAUUCCGUGGUGUAGCGGUGAAAUGCGCAGAUAUCAGGAAGAACACCCGUGGCGAAAGCGGCUCUCUGGAACGGUACUGACGCUGAGACGCGAAAGCGUGGGGAGCGAACAGG
rnacentral:rRNA from 1 species